UGUCCCUGUUCUGGACAAAGUGGUGUCAACUUCAUGGUGCUCAUCUUAAUUCAGCCAGGGGCAAAACAAUAUCAUAUUUACCCUAGCAUGAGUUUUGAUUUAUGCCUAAUGCCUGGUUCAUGCCUUGGACACAUGU
ensembl:snoRNA